CUCAGGGAGGAAUGCCCAUUGUCCGCUCUGCCCAGUACCCAGCUCUACCCACCACCUUUUCUUACGAUACCAAGAGACUGCGAUAUUGA
rnacentral:lncRNA from 1 species